rnacentral:misc_RNA from 1 species
AUUCCUAAGCUGUGUUGAGCUGUGGUUGUAUGGUGGCUAUAAGUAGAAGCCGGUGAAUCGUUCCACAAUGUGCGUGGGCCCGUUCCGGAGAGUGUGCCACUGGGGCCCUCUGACCGCUCUGGGCAUCAUCCAGUCCAUCACCUUGAUGACAAUCCACUGUUUCUACCUGCUGUGGCCGUCUGAAUCCAAUUGGCUCCCAGGGAGGAUCCAAUUUUGGAUAUUCUGUGGGCUCAGCUGUGCGACGCUGUAUGCGUUCCUGAAUGCACUGCUCGUUGGACCUGGAUUUGUGCCGAAAGAAUGGAGACCGGAGGAUAAAUCUGCCGAGUCGCUGCUACAGUUCUGCUCCUUCUGUCAGGGAUACAAGGCUCCGAGAGCUCACCACUGCAGAAAAUGCAAUCGCUGUGUGAUGAAAAUGGACCACCACUGUCCGUGGAUCAACACCUGUGUGGGCCACAGAAAUCAUGGCUACUUUGCCUACUUUCUACUGUUUGCCGUCCUCGGAUCACUGCAGGGAGGGAUGACCAUGUCCCUGGCGGUGUAUAGAGUGUUCACGGCGCUCUACUACCGCGUAUCGCUACUGGCGCCACCUAUAACGAUGAACGUCUACGCCCUGAUGGGAUGUCUCUUUUGCAUUGGUCUCUCCAUCGGAGUGGUGCUUGCAGUGGGAAUGCUCUUCGUUUAUCAGGCUCUGUCUAUCCUCCGUAACCGUACCGGUGUGGAGGACUGGAUUCUGGAGAAGGCUGUACACAGACGACGGGUGGCCUUCCAGAGACGGUGGACAGAACUCAUGGAUCGAGCUGAUCAGGGCGAGGACAUUUCCGAAGAGGAAGCCUCCCUCCGGCCGGAGUUCUUCUUCAACCCGUACGACCUCGGACGGAUGAGGAACUGGAGCUUGGUGAUGUCGCCGCUAGGGGCGCCACUGGGCGACGGCAUAGUUUGGCCCGUGAGGGCCGGGUGCCAUCAGUACACACUGACGGUGGAGCAGCUUGAACAGAAGGCAGAGAAGCGCUCCCGGAUGAGGGAGUACCUCAUCAUUGAGGACUACUCCGGCUCGUGGGUGCCCAUCUCCAAAGGACUCCGAAUCUGCUGCCACCCUCCCUGCACCGACGAAGCUCGAAUCCCGCUCCGUCGCGGCGACUCCGUUCUCGUGUCUCGCUGGAGAACAUAUUGGCUAUAUGGAGAACGGCGGCCAAGACCUACAGAAGGAGCAUGUGGGGCAGCUUUUACAAGCCAGAGUGCUAGCGGUGGAAGCAUUAGCGGCGGUGGAAGUGUAAGCAGAAGUGGAAGUGGAAACAUAAGUGGAAGUGGAAGUGGCCGUGGAUGUGGAAGUGGAAACAUAAGUGGAAGUGGAAGUGGAAACAUAAGUGGCGGUGGAAGUGGAGGUUUUAUGAGAAAUGUUGGAGGAGGACAGCAUCCAACAAGUCCAGCAGAUCGUCCCAGAGGCUGGUUCCCCCGGAGGUGUGCGGUUGAAGAGGUGGGAGGGGUGGUGGAAGGUGGGGAGGAGUGCGGGGGAGGCAGGGAGAAACAGGAGUAGAGGAGAAGAGAGGGAAAGUGGAGGAGUGAGGGAAAGAGGGAGAGGGGAGAGACAGUGGAGAGAUGUAGAAGGAAGUGGAGAGAGAAGAGCAGAAGAGGAGAGGGAGGGAGAGAGGAGAAGAGAAGAGAAGAAGGGGAAAGGAGAGGAUGAAGAGAGGAAGAGAAGAGGAGGUCGACGUCAGGAUUGGAUUUCAGCACUCGCUUUAUGCCUCUUCGACUGGUAGCGACGCUGGCGGGUCUUUACUGAAUCACUAGUUUAUAUACCGCUCACUAGGUGGCAGUGAAGGACACGGCUCGCUUCCUCAGAUCAGAGGCACAGUCGUAACCCGUCUUGGCCCGAGACUGGAUGUCGGGCAGUUUCACCGACGAAGCAGUUGACUGCUUCGUCUCCCAACUGCUCGGCCAGAGUUGCCAGGUGCUGCCAGUUAAAGUUGCCAGGCGUUUGCCAGAUGCGUUUGCUGACUGCGGUGAUGUGAUCUCUAUUUGAAGUCGUGUUUACCAAAGGGUGUGUUGUGGUAGUAGCGAUGCGUUGCUCGAGUGAGACUUGCGACUUCGUUGCCAAAUGCCAUGACAACUGGUGGUGAGUCUUGUGAUUUGACGGGUGACUUUACAACUAGUGUGGACCAGUGUUUGAUGUGUGCUUGAAUUCCUGUUACUUCAAGACACUACGAUUCAACUCAAAAUUAGCUACAGUCUGACAAACGUUGGAAGGCACGGAUUUAAAGUACAACUGUUAUUUAUUUACUUUCCUGGAUUUCUCUAUACGCCCAACAACUUUGUUUUCAAAAUCUCAAACACAUCAGACUAUCUGCAGCGGCUAUUUCACGCAUUUAGUUUUCAAGGCGCCUUUUUUUUCUUAGAUUUGCCAGGCUAAUCUCGGAUGUGUUUUCGGGUGUUGUUUGUGAGUUUCGAGUGUUUUCAUGAACAUUUUACUAUUGACACAAACAGCUGGCAUGUUUGUGUCAAUUCAAGGCGUGUUUGUGUGGUGUUUGUCUCCACGAAGUGAAGUGUUUGUUUGUUGGUAUAUAGUAAUUGUCAUAGUGCCUUCAGUGUUUAGAUCAGGUUUCUGCCAUUCCAAUAUCGCUGGUAGCAAUACUCGGUGUAAAGUUGAUAAAACGCUUUACUGAGAAAAGUGAAUGCUUUUGAAAAUCAUCGCUCUAGUUAUAUACGAUGUGUGGUUGUUGAAACGUUACGUUGAUCGUGGCUUCCUUUGGAAAUUUCGUUAUGUGCGUUAAUCAUUACCAAAUGUGUGACUAGAAAUGCAAUGUGUGCUUUAGGGUGUUGUAUCAAUAAGGCGUAGGUUAAAGGUUUGCACAAGCAAUGUUGAUACGCAUGCAUUCAUUUAAGAAAAUAAGCUUAUCGUGCAUUCAGCUUUAAGCGUGGUGGAAUGGAAAGAAGAAAUUGUUCGUCCUAGCUCAAAUCCAUUGUGUCAUUUAAAUAGCCUAAUAGAAAAACGUUAAAUCGACUUAACGGCACAAUUUCCAGCUGCUCACUUUUGCGUGUAUUUAUACGUGCUUUUGUUACGUUAUUCGCUUGCUUUUUCGUUGAUCUGUGUUAGCUUGCCGUGUUGAAUGCUAAAUGCUAUAAAAAAGCACGUUGUUGGAGCGUAUACAGUCCAUAUCAGAAUGAACUAUGCACUCGUGGUCGUGAACAAUACACUGCGUGAAAGAAA